AUCUACUUUGACCAAGUUCAUAGAGAAAAUUAUCUAUAUGUACUAUACCUGAUAUAUAACAUAUGAAACAUAUUUCAUGAUGAAAAUAAUGGUAUUGGUUUGGUAUUCUAAACACCGAUAAAUUGUUCCUAUAAACUUGGUGAUAGUUUAAAAGUGUGCCUUCGAAAAAAUCUAAUACAUCCUAUAUUUUGGAACGGAGGGAGUACCAUUUAUUACUGAAAUUAUACUUGCAUUGAUAUCCCUAUUAGAGAAUUGCUUUGCACAAUGACACCAUACCUGCAACUGGUAAUUGUGUUUUGUAGUAACCAGCAACCAUACACACGCUAUGGAGCAAGAUAAUAAAUAUUGCUUGCAUAAACUGAUUGUGUAUUUGAAGUAUGGAAGAUUAUUCAAGUACCGUGUUAGGAAUAUGCAANCUCAAAUGCAAAGCGUAUGCAAUAGCAUUGCAUUUGAAGAAGUGUAAUACUAAAAAAAAUGAUAAUCCAAAUCCGCGUCUUGAGAGUGUCGUCGUAGCAUGAAGAGUCUUCAAAACUUGUCGAGUCGCCGAAGAAGAGAACGAAGAGAUGGCACAUCAGAGGUAGACACCGCAUCACUUGAAGAUACAAGAUAAGUAUUAAGAGAAGAUGGGUUGUCAAAAGAAGAUGGCACAUCAAGAGAAUAAAGCAUUGCGCAGAAAAUCAUAGUCCACGACAACCGUCGGCGAAAGAAGCUCGGCGGAUAAGGCACGAUGAACGUAGAUCGACAAUGCAAAAGAAGUCCAGGAAAUCAUAUAAAAGACAACAAGGGCAAGUAGGCCUCAAAAGUUGCAUAGAAAGGAUCAGGACCGGAGAAAGGCUGACGGACUAAGGUAUGGUGGACUCGCAUGACAUGAGAAAACACAAAAUAUCAACGGAUUUGGUGGACGCAGCGGAAAGAAAAAAAGCACAUGCUAGAUGAAGAUGCGAUGGCAGAGGAAAAACUAGCGGCAAAGGCAGCAGAAGAAACAUGAGUUUUUUUUUACUGUGGAAACCAGAUUUAUGGUGUGACUAGCAGCACCACGUGGCUGAUAGUAGCACUAGCAGCAACGCACAACAGGAAACACAGUAGAUAAUCCUGCAGGCAAGCGCAUCAAUCUGGAUGGAAGACCUGCUGCAGGGUGGUUGACUUCUAGCGGCCACCCGGGGCUGUGAGGAGACGUUGCAGCGGGGGGAAGCAGCGGGGCCGGCGGCCAGGAAGUCGACGGCGGCGUACAUCCUGGAGGGAGUAGCGGCCAGUGCAGGCACCCGUGUCUGUAUCGAUCUAGGGGCGACAAGCACCCGCUCUUCGGGGCCCUCCUCGACGAGGCAUCCCAUCCCCUGCCGCGUCGACCGCUUCGUCCACGUCGAGCGCCUCAUCGACCGCGACCUCGGCGUGCAGGGCCACCAGCUCGUCGACCUCGACUACGGCGCCACCACCGCAGCAUGAGACCUGCAAGAUCCACCGAAAUAAGGAGGGAGGCGGCGGGAUCUGGCGGCGGCUGGGGGCGCGAGAUCCAGCGGGAUGAGGCGGCGGCGGCUGGAGGCGGAUGGCGGCUGGAUCCGAGGCAGGAGACCGGCGCGACCUGUGGCGGCUGGUCCUGGACCAGCGACGGGAGACGAGGCAGCGCGAGACGGCGAGGCAGGGAGGAGCCGACGCGCCGGGGUGAGGGAGCAUGACGGGGAGGACGAGAUCGACCCAGAACAGAUCGAUCGAGAGAAGAAAAAAAAAGUUGGAUCGUAAGGACGAGUUGCAGCGUCCGGAGACCUAAACCUAGGCUCUAAUACCAUGUUAGGAAUAUGCAACUUAUCUAUAUUGAAGGCCCAAGGGGCAUAUAUAUAUUACACAUGACUUGAGGUGCAAGGAAAGUAAACAUAGACUAAUAAGGACUCCUAGACUAAUAC
rnacentral:lncRNA from 1 species